rnacentral:rRNA from 1 species
AGAGUUUGAUCCUGGCUCAGGACGAACGCUGGCGGCGUGCUUAACACAUGCAAGUCACGGGGGCCCGCAAGGGCAACCGGCGAACGGGUGCGUAACACGUGAGCAACCUACCGAUUUCUGGGGGAUAGCCGGCCCAACGGCCGGGUAAUACCGCAUACGUUUCCUGAAGGACAUCCUUUGGGAAAGAAACCUCCGGGGGAGAUCGAGGGGCUCGCGGCCUAUCAGCUAGUUGGCGGUGUAACGGACCACCAAGGCGACGACGGGUAGCUGGUCUGAGAGGAUGGCCAGCCACAUUGGGACUGAGAGACGGCCCAGACUCCUACGGGAGGCAGCAGUGGGGAAUCUUGCGCAAUGGCCGAAAGGCUGACGCAGCGACGCCGCGUGGGGGAUGAAGCAUUUCGGUGUGUAAACCCCUGUUGCCCGGGACGAACAGCCUUUUUCGAGAGGCCUGACGGUACCGGGUGAGGAAGCACCGGCUAACUCCGUGCCAGCAGCCGCGGUAAUACGGAGGGUGCGAGCGUUGUCCGGAAUCACUGGGCGUAAAGGGCGCGUAGGUGGCGCGGGCAGUCAACGGUGAAAGUUCGGGGCUCAACCCCGAAUCGGCCGUCGAUACUCCCGAGCUCGAGCACUGUAGAGGCAGAUGGAAUUCCGGGUGUAGCGGUGGAAUGCGUAGAGAUCCGGAAGAACACCGGUGGCGAAGGCGGUCUGCUGGGCAGUAGCUGACACUGAGGCGCGACAGCGUGGGGAGCAAACAGGAUUAGAUACCCUGGUAGUCCACGCCGUAAACGAUGGGUACUAGGUGCUUGGGGGAGCGACCCCCUGAGUGCCGGCGCUAACGCAUUAAGUACCCCGCCUGGGGAGUACGGCCGCAAGGCUGAAACUCAAAGGAAUUGACGGGGGCCCGCACAAGCGGUGGAGCAUGUGGUUUAAUUCGACGCAACGCGAAGAACCUUACCUAGGCUUGACAUGUAUGGGAAA